AGCAAACCUCGGCAUGGCCAGCUGGAAAGGUACAAUCUUAGAGCUACUGGAGAGGCACAACCUCAUGUGUAGAAGGAAGAAGAGUUACUUGCACCAGUUCCAUGCACCUGAACUUCAACAUGGAUCAAGAAUAAAACAAUUAAAAGUAANGAAAUUCAGCUUGAAAGAGUGAAUGAAGAAGAGGGAUGCUGGAGAAUACUGUGAGACCCUCAGAAUGAAAUGGAAGCAAAGAUGCACACUGUGAAAUGUACUGAUGCACCAGGUGUGAACACAGCUGGAGACAUGCGGCUGGAGACUUCAUUCUGCCUUACUUAGGCUGCAUGCACACAGGUGCUUUAAAGCACCUCCCAGCUGGCCCAGGUAGUCUGUUUACACAAACCCGCCCCCAUCCAGCUUUUGGACUUCUCUACCUGCCCCAAAAGUCAUCUAAAUCCAGUGGCAGCCGGCGGCUUUAAGCCCAGGUCUUUGGGCCCUGCGCAAAGUGUGCCAUGGCUGUUCACAGGGCCUCUGGGCUUCCAUACUGCUGCAGCAUGUGACCUGGAGAUCCCAUGAACAGCCAUGGCAUGCUUUGCGCAGGACCUGGACACCCGGGCUUAAAGCUGCCAGCCGCCGCUGUCUAAACCAAAAGUGGCCAGAGCAAUUAUAAAGUCAGAGUAUGGCUUAAGAAUACUUUGCAUAUCAUAUUUUUUUUUAUUAUUGUGACUCAUUCCGGGGCCUUUUGGUGAAAGGUGGGAUAUAAAUCCUUAAAUAGAUAAUAAAUAAGUAGGUUGACUCUGUUGACUUUUGUAG
rnacentral:lncRNA from 1 species